rnacentral:misc_RNA from 1 species
GGUUCGGUCGGAUUGUCGCGCCGGUAUUCACGAAAUCGUAAAUUAUUAUGUAUCCAAAUAUAUGAACGGUUUAAUCGCGUGAACGUAUCGUCACAUCAGACGCCGAUCGCGUGAGGUAAUAGAGGCGAAAAGCGAGAAACGCGAGGCGCGUCGGUGCGUCAUUUGGAACUGCAUCGGUAAAUAAUGUGAAGUUGAAAUUUUGACGAGUCCCUGAAAAUGUGCGUGAGUGAAAACACAUAGAAACGUCAGUUGGCGAAGAUGAUCGCAGAGCGUAGACGCCGUUCGAUUUGAAAAUGCAUGGCGAAGAAGUAUCGUGACGAACGAACAGGGAAGACGCCAUCGAAAAAGGAUUUGAAGCUUUUUUCUCGUGCCGGCGUUCGGUUUACGCGACAGAGUCGAACGAAUCGUGACAAGAAUAUCGUUCGGGCGUGUAAUGAAAGGCAAAUUGGAAAAAAGCGAUUGCAGCGGCGAGACUUAGCGCGAGUAAGCGGAGGAAAUUGAUCGUUGAAGUCGAAAAAGGAGAGGAAAAAGAAGCGGAGGAAGAAGAAGAAGAAGAAAACGCGAGAAUCGUUGAAAUAUAAGGAAAGCGAAGUCGAACGAAGCGCGAAGCGCGCGCGCGGCCUUCCGCAGAGUAAGCGAGGAUGGAGGACGAAUUACGAUGUCCUUGUUGCAAGGAGCUGUUCGUCGAGCCGGUGCUAUUACCCUGUUGGCACGCUCUUUGUCUGUCGUGCGCGGUUAAUCUUCAAGCACCGCCGGACUCGCCUCCGGAGUCGACGACCGAUUCAUCGAACGCGCCAGGAUCUGAUCAGGAGGCCGAUAAACUUUCGAUUUUGUCCGAGACCGACUCGGGGGUGGUGUGCAGCAGCACGUCAACCAGCUCGCGACCAGGAAGCUAUGUCGGCACACCCGGAAACGGUGGUUUUCCGCCGUCAGGCGGCACUUUGUGUCUUUCUUGCCCCGUUUGUCAGAAGACCGUAUAUUUCGACGAAGGCGGAGCACACAAUUUGCCCAAGUACAGGGCAAUGCAGCAUAUCGUGGAAAAAUAUCAGGAAUCGAGGAACGCGAGAUUGCAGUGUCAAAUGUGCGAGGGUGAACCCCGAGACGCUACCGUCGCCUGCGAACAAUGCGAGGUGUUGUAUUGCGACGGCUGCAGAGAAUCGUGUCAUCCGAAGAGGGGACCUUUGGCUGCUCACAAUCUGGGCCCACCUCGUGGCAGCUGGCAAUCGAACGGAGGCAAAGGUUCUCGCGGUCCAGCCACGGAAACUACGCCGGUUUGCAACGAUCACAACGGCGAACCGUUAACUCUCUACUGUGCCCUCUGCAAAAUCGCGAUAUGCGCGCUUUGUCUUCGGGAUCGUCACGCCGCUCACCCACACGACGUCCUACCAUUGGCCGCAGCCUGCAAGGCCCAGAAGACCGAAUUGUCGCAAAAUUUGCAACAGCUGUCGGAAAGGGCUCGGUCGACGACGGAAUUCAUUCAGAGGCUCAAAGGGAUGACGGACAAAGUGCACGAAGAGUGCGUCGCUCUGGAAGAAGAGGUGGAGGAUCGCGUGGCGAACCUGGUGAGUCUAUUGCAGGUGAGAAAAUCUCGGCUGAUCGAAGCUGCCCGUCAGACCAGGGAAGCUAGGGUGCGUUCGUUGAGGGACCAAGUUGCCAGAUGCGCGUCCCACCUGCAGGCGACCACGGCUCUCCUCACGUUCUGCAUCGAGGCUCUAAAGGAGACCGACGGUGCCGCCUUUCUGCAAAUUGGCGGCAUGCUCUCGGUCAGAGCCGCCACCGCUGCCGGUUCCUGGGGUGGCGCCGAGGGCGUGCAAGAAAUUGCUCGGUUACCGCUGCUCGAUCUCACCCUGGACGACAAACCGUUGCGACGCGCCAUCGAUCAGCUCACCUUCGUUCAAUUGAAACCGCCCGGAGCACCGAUAUUGAUACCGGAAGAAUGCAGCGCCGAGAACAACAGCGUUACCGUUGCCUGGCAGCCUCCGCCGGGACACGGGAUCGUGGGCUGCGCGGGUCAAAGAGGCCCCGCCAUCGACGGAUACCUUCUCGAACUAGACGACGGCUGUGGCGGAGAAUUUCGAGAAGUGUACUGUGGCCGAGAAACGAUCUGCACCGUGGACGGAUUGCAUUUCAAUUCUCUGUACAAUGCCAGGGUGAGAGCGUUCAACAGCGCCGGGGAAGGCGAAUAUUCGGAGCUGAUCGGCCUUCAGACAGCCGAGGUGGCAUGGUUCUCGUGGGCAACCGGGGCGUCCGGUAUACCACAGGAGGUAUCCAUUUCCGAGGACGCGAUGAGUGCGUCCUGCGAGGGUUACGAGCACCGAGUCGUCCUCUCGAGCGUCGGAUUUUCACGGGGCGUCCACUACUGGGAGCUGACGAUCGAUCGCUAUCACAGCGACACCGAUCCUGCUUUCGGCAUAGCCAGAGCCGAAGUAUCCCGGGAUCGAAUGCUCGGCAAGGACGACAAGGGUUGGAGCAUGUACAUAGAUCGGCAACGUUCGUGGUUCAUGCACGGCGGUGGACACGCGCAGAGGACCGAAGGUGGCGUGCAACAGGGUUCCACGGUGGGCGUCCUCUUGGACCUCGACACGACUCACACGCUUCGUUUCUUCGUAAACGAUCAACCGCAAGGAGGGAUCGCGUUUCGCGAUCUCUACGGCGUAUUUUAUCCGGCUGUCAGUCUGAAUCGAGGGGUGACCGUCACGUUGCACACCGCCCUGGACGUACCGCGUCAUUUGUUGGCGCUGCACGAGGAGUACAUGAGCGACGUGAUUCAGAGCUAGGGAUACCUAAAUGUCCUGAAGAAGGGCCUGUUGCAGGAAGUCGGCUCGCCAACUUCCGUCGACAAGUCGACGGAAAAGACCAGGGAGUUCAACGAAUCGAGGAACGAUCGGGCGUAUUCGACUCCCGUCGCGUCGGGCGAUCGAUAAUCGUUUUUCUCGACAAUAUAUCUUUUAGAGGCGAGGAGAAUCUUUUGAAACGCGACGACUAACGUCGCGGUACGCGGAACGUCUCGCGAUCUUUGAUCAAAAAUCACUGCCAACGGCGCGAGAUUUAUCGAAUCAAAGACUGCUGCCAUUUUCUAGAGAGAAGAAAGGUAAAAAGUACGUAAACCGAAGUGUUCUCCGUCUAAGGAUCGCGUGCGAUCGUAUUCUUAUUCAUAUCGAUACGUAUAAGCAUAAUCGCGUAGAUUUAAGGUAAGUUCUAUCGAUAUUUAAUAGGAUGCAUUGUUAAGAAAGAAAAAGAAAGGGAAAAGAUGCACGCGUGCACCGAAGCUCGGCUUUAGUGUAAAAUAACGUCUCGAUUGAACGUUUUCUAGUCCCUGAUAGAAUUUUCUAUCCAGCUUUCCCCCUUUUUUCGAUUUUAAUAUUUCUUUUUUACCGUUUUGUACGAGGAAAGAUCGCGAGCAAACGCGUCACGGGAAUACGAAUUUAAGAUUAUCGAAGAUAGAUGUUGCAGCGCACAAACUCGUGAAACCAUUCCUCCUCCAGCGACGAGGAGAAUCAACGUCAGCGUUGUACAUAUUUGUAUAUACAUAUUUCGAUUGUACCGCCGAUCAAUUUGCCAACUGUAUCUACGAUUCUAUCCGAUCAAUAAAACGCACCAGAAAGAGAAAUAGUUCUCUGUCGUUCU